UAAAGUGAUGUUUUCUGUGAGGACAGUGUACAACGAGAUUCUUGAGCAUCAACACUUGGGACAACGUGACUGGACUGGAAAACUAUGGAAAACACAUUAUUGAGCCUUCACACCUUCCAACAAACAAGAAACUCUUCAAAUCUGU